rnacentral:lncRNA from 1 species
GGGGAAUAUCUUGAAUCAAGAACAAGGUUAUAUAAUUUUGUGUAGCAUUUAAUAGUUACUGGGCUACAAUGUUUAAUCACCUCAUUUACAAUGGAGUCUGGUCCAGGGGAUUUUUUUCAUUUUAAGGGAUUUUAUAACUUUAUUUACUUCUGAUACUGUUAUCGGACUACCAGUUCUUUCAUUAAAUCUAUUUUCACUCUCUUUGUUUUUCAAAAAAAUGGUUUAUCUCAUCUACUGAUUUAUCGCAAGGUUUGUUCCGAAAAUGGUUUGUUAGGUUAUCUGAUUUCAUAUUAAUUUCUGUGGUAUUCAUAUUAUUUCUUAUAGAUUAAAGUAGUUUCCAAAAUUGUUAAGUUUGAAGAUUUGAUAGUUUUUCAAUCAUUUGUUGUUGAUAUUGGUUUUUUUCUAUUUACUUGCUUUUUUUUAAAUAUUUUGCAGUUUCCAAAAAUUGCUGUUUCAAAUUUCUAUCAUAUGGUUUAUGUUUUAGUUUUUUACCUAAAUUAUUAAUCUUACUUUUUAAAUCUUUUAAUUCAGUGUCUGACCAGGGGUUCCUUUUUUUUUUUUAGUUUUCUUAUGCUUUAUUGGAACUUUUAUUAUACAGUCAUGUUUUAGAGGCUACAUUAUCUAGAAUUUCUGUUUAUGAUUUUGAAUCUUUAUUUAUGCC